CACCUCUCCUGGAGGUGAUGUGCUGUUUUGUCCUGUGCCCAGACCAGCACAGCUUGGAGCCUGCAGGAUGGUUGGGGGCAAGGAAAAGGGGAAAUCAUCUCCAAGUGACCUAUGUUACUGUCUGAUAUCUGUCCUUCAGUUAUCCCAGAAAACUGAGAGCUGACUCUUCAGUUUACAGCUGAUAAUGAAAUAUCUUCAUUAUAGAAAUGUACUGCAGUGAUUAGGAGCUCCAGCCAAGGAUUAGGCUCUGGCUGUGUUAGAUACUGUACAGUCAUAGCUCAAAAAGAUGAUACCUGCCUUAACGACUUCAUAAUCCAGCAGGAAGACAAUGUCUAUGCCUAAUUACACGGGAGGGCAGUGAGCAGGGGCUGGAGAAGGUGAUAACCAAGCCAAGGAGUGGGGCUCAUGCA